CACAUGAGCCACCUUUAUCCUCUCAACACUUUCAAGACUUUGGGGAGCUGUGAGUUGGGAACUAUGGAUGAAGAGCGAAGAUGGAUGAGAAAUAUAUAUUUUGAUGAACUGAAUGACCAAAUACAUUUUUUCCUUAUAAAUCACUGUUUUAUGAUUAACAACCAAAUAGCAGCAGCUCUUACUUAUUGAACACUUUUCAUUCUUUCUCAUAAGGAAUAUAAUCAUCUCAACCACCAAGAAAGCCAGCACAGGCAUGCCUUGGCGAUAUUGAGGGGUCUGUUCCAGACAGCCACAAAAAGGCAAAUCACACAAAACUUGAUUUCCCAAUGUGGCAACCGAGACUCGAAAGCCAGAAGUAGCCAUCUACCAUCACACAGCCAGAAUAUGGCAGAGCCAGCUUCAGAACCCAGGCUUCAAGCCGGGCAGUGAUGAAGCUGGGUGCCCAGAUGCUGACUACUUGUCCAGUCAGUCAAGGACCAGAGCAAAGUCUCAUGAAAUGCAAAUCAGGGCAAAUCCCUUGAAAGUUCAGUGCAUCCAAAUCUCAAGAAAAGCCUGAACCCCACUUGCAGCUUGUCCCUGCGCAGAUGGGCGCCCCCUGGGCUGGAUUCCUAGAAGACAGGAAUUUAUGGUGUGAGAGCUCCAGCCCCCGCAAACCCUGAGCCAAGGUCAACAGCAUGAGGAGGGCAGUACCGCCAAGAAGAGGGGAGCCGCAGCCUGGGGAGCGAGCUGCACAGAAAACCAAAGGAUGUGAUUCCAAAACGCCCUCUACCCCUCAAGCGCCCACACUGGGGGCUCGAACAAGAUCCCCCAGACUUGCCCAAACAGGCCAUUUCUGUGGGCAGAGCCACCAAUUCAGAGACAGGGCCUGUGAUGCUGCUGAGGGGGCAGAUCCUUGGAUUCAUGGAGGAUCUGAGAACGUCCCAUGGCUGAGACCCGAGAGAGAUGGCCCCAAACAUUCAGGGGGUGCUGAACAGGGUGCCCAUGGUGCCCCCAUCCUUCAAGCCAAGUAAGGGCAGCUAAGAUGGAAGAAGGUGACUUGGGCCCAGUGAAAAGACCCCCAGAGGUGGGAGCCUGAUUUACACCUGUCUCCCCUCUGCCUCUGGGGCCUGAGAUCCUGCCUGUCCUCACACAGCGAAUGCCCAGGGUCCAAGGCUCUAUGACAGCAGAGGACAGAUUUGUGCCAGACCCCAAGGCACUGGGGAGGGUACCCAAGGGGAAAUGAGCAGGGACCUGGAGACCACUUUGAUUCAAACCCAGAUCACCUGGGACUGGGAAGACAGGCCUGCUGUGAGACCCACAGCUGUAACUUGACAUCCAUGUGCCCCUGAGCCCCACUGGGGCCCCCCUCCCUCAGAAAAAACAGGGCUUCCUGUUGGAGAGAAACCCCAAGUGAGGGUAGUGGGGGGACUGAUAUGGAAGUGGAGGAUGAGUAUCACGUGAGGUGCUGCAGAUUCCCCGAGGAGAGA